AAUUCAUCAAUGAAAACUAUUCAGAUUAUGAUUUGUGUUUCUAUUGUCAUGUCUGAGUAAUCACCUUGUUGGGUUUAGGGAGUCUCAAUAGGGAUUUAGAUGGAUUAGUAGAUCGAAAACCAUUUAAGAUUAUUCUUAGAGUUCUUCAUCUUGAUUAUUCUUAAUGCUAGUUUUAGACAGAUCACCUAGAACUUGAUAUUAGAUAAUAGGUAUGGCCGCCAUAGGUACUUGUUAUUUAAACUAUCAUAGAUGAGCCUAGGCAUUUAAGAAAGAAUAGGUUGGCUCAUAG
rnacentral:sRNA from 1 species